rnacentral:rRNA from 1 species
AACGUAGGAGGCGAGCGUUAUCCGGAUUCACUGGGCGUAAAGCGCGUGCAGGUGGUUCGGUAAGUUGGGCGUGAAAUCUCCCGGCUCAACUGGGAGAGGUCGUUCAAUACUACCGAACUUGAGAGCAGAAGAGGAAGAUGGAAUUCCCGGUGUAGUGGUGAAAUGCGUAGAUAUCGGGAGGAACACCUGAGGCGAAGGCGGGCUACUGGGCCGAUACUGACGCUGAUGUGCGAAAGCCAGGGGAGCGAACGGG